AAAGUCCCAUUGUCUGCCUUUAUGCCGUA
rnacentral:piRNA from 1 species